rnacentral:tRNA from 2 species
GGGCGCUUGGUCUAGGGGUAUGAUCUUCGUUUCGCACCACACCGCGUCUACGAAAAGUCGUGGGUUCGAUUCCUACAGCGUCCA